AGAAAACAACUCUUCAGAUGGGCAAGUCAAUCAGAUUGUUUAAAUGUCCUCACAACAUGGCAGCUAACUUCCCUCAGAGCAGGUGAUCCGAGAGAUUACAGGCCAGUUAUUUCAUAGCAUAU